AGCGAACGCUGGCGGCAGGCUUAACACAUGCAAGUCGAGCGCCCCGCAAGGGGAGCGGCAGACGGGAGAGCAACACGUGGGAACAUACCUUUUGGUUCGGAACAACUGAGGGAAACUUCAGCUAAUACCGGAUAAGCCCUUACGGGGAAAGAUUUAUCGCCGAAAGAUUGGCCCGCGUCUGAUUAGCUAGUUGGUGAGGUAACGGCUCACCAAGGCGACGAUCAGUAGCUGGUCUGAGAGGAUGAUCAGCCUCACUGGGACUGAGACACGGCCCAGACUCCUACGGGAGGCAGCAGUGGGGAAUAUUGCACAAUGGGCGGAAGCCUGAUGCAGCAACGCCGCGUGCGGGAUGACGGCCUUCGGGUUGUAAACCGCUUUCGCCUGUGACGAAGCGUGAGUGACGGUAAUGGGUAAAGAAGCACCGGCUAACUACGUG
rnacentral:rRNA from 1 species